rnacentral:rRNA from 1 species
UGGCAGACGGCUGAGUAAUACAUGGGAAUCUACCUCAAACUCGAGAAUAGCCCAUCGAAAGGUGGUGUAAUACUCGAUAGUUCCGUUUACGGUAAAGCUCCGGCGGUUUGAGAUGAGCCCAUGUCCUAUCAGGUUGUUGGUGGGGUAAUUGCCUACCAAGCCUAUGACGGGUAGCUGGUUUGAGAGGAUGAUCAGCCAGACUGGGACUGCGAUACGGCCCAGACUCCUACGGGAGGCAGCAACUAGGAAUCAUGCGCAAUGGACGAAAGUCUGACGCUGCGACGUCGCGUGAGGGAUGAAGGUCUUCGGAUCGUAAACCUCUUUUAUCUGGGAACAAGUUCUGAGUGUACCAGAUGAAUAAGUGCCUGCCAACCACGUGCCAGAAGCAUCGGUAAUGCGUGGGGCACGAGCGUUAUCCGGAUUUACUGGGCGUAAAGAGAUGCGUAGGCGCCUUUUUAAGUCACUUGUAAAAUCUCCCCGCUCAAUGGGGAAACUGCAAGUGAUACUGAAUUGGUUGAGUCAAGUAGAGGAGAGGGGAAUUCCUGGUGGAGCGGUUAAAUGCGUUGAUAUCAGGAGGAAUACCAAGUGCGAAGGCACCUCUCUGGACUUGUACUGACGCUAAGGCUCGAAAGUGUGGGGAGCAAAACGGAUUAGAUACCCGUGUAGUCCACACUGUAAACGAUCCCUGCUAGAUGUU